rnacentral:rRNA from 1 species
AAUGGGUCAGCGACUUAUAUUCUGUAGCAAGGUUAACCGAAUAGGGGAGCCGAAGGGAAACCGAGUCUUAACUGGGCGUUAAGUUGCAGGGUAUAGACCCGAAACCCGGUGAUCUAGCCAUGGGCAGGUUGAAGGUUGGGUAACACUAACUGGAGGACCGAACCGACUAAUGUUGAAAAAUUAGCGGAUGACUUGUGGCUGGGGGUGAAAGGCCAAUCAAACCGGGAGAUAGCUGGUUCUCCCCGAAAGCUAUUUAGGUAGCGCCUCGUGAAUUCAUCUCCGGGGGUAGAGCACUGUUUCGGCAAGGGGGUCAUCCCGACUUACCAACCCGAUGCAAACUGCGAAUACCGGAGAAUGUUAUCACGGGAGACACACGGCGGGUGCUAACGUCCGUCGUGAAGAGGGAAACAACCCAGACCGCCAGCUAAGGUCCCAAAGUCAUGGUUAAGUGGGAAACGAUGUGGGAAGGCCCAGACAGCCAGGAUGUUGGCUUAGAAGCAGCCAUCAUUUAAAGAAAGCGUAAUAGCUCACUGGUCGAGUCGGCCUGCGCGGAAGAUGUAACGGGGCUAAACCAUGCACCGAAGCUGCGGCAGCGACACUAUGUGUUGUUGGGUAGGGGAGCGUUCUGUAAGCCUGCGAAGGUGUACUGUGAGGUAUGCUGGAGGUAUCAGAAGUGCGAAUGCUGACAUAAGUAACGAUAAAGCGGGUGAAAAGCCCGCUCGCCGGAAGACCAAGGGUUCCUGUCCAACGUUAAUCGGGGCAGGGUGAGUCGACCCCUAAGGCGAGGCCGAAAGGCGUAGUCGAUGGGAAACAGGUUAAUAUUCCUGUACUUGGUGUUACUGCGAAGGGGGGACGGAGAAGGCUAUGUUGGCCGGGCGACGGUUGUCCCGGUUUAAGCGUGUAGGCUGAUUUUCCAGGCAAAUCCGGAAAAUCAAGGCUGAGGCGUGAUGACGAGGCACUACGGUGCUGAAGCAACAAAUGCCCUGCUUCCAGGAAAAGCCUCUAAGCAUCAGGUAACAUCAAAUCGUACCCCAAACCGACACAGGUGGUCAGGUAGAGAAUACCAAGGCGCUUGAGAGAACUCGGGUGAAGGAACUAGGCAAAAUGGUGCCGUAACUUCGGGAGAAGG